rnacentral:rRNA from 1 species
CCUACGGGAGGCAGCAGUGGGGAAUAUUGGGCAAUGGGCGCAAGCCUGACCCAGCAACGCCGCGUGAAGGAAGAAGGCUCUCGGGUUGUAAACUUCUUUUCUGAGGGACGAAGAAAGUGACGGUACCUCAGGAAUAAGCUACGGCUAACUACGUGCUAGCAGCCGCGGUAAUACGUAGGUGGCAAGCGUUAUCCGGAUUUAUUGGGUGUAAAGGGCGUGUAGGCGGGAAUGCAAGUCAGAUGUGAAAACUCAGGGCUCAACCCUGAGCCUGCAGUUGAAACUGUUUUUCUUGAGUGCUGGAGAGGCAAUCGGAAUUCCGGGUGUAGCGGUGAAAUGCGUAGAUAUACGGAGGAACACCAGUGGCGAAGGCGGAUUGCUGGACAGUAACUGACGCUGAGGCGCGAAAGCGUGGGGAGCGAACAGGAUUAGAUACCCCAGUAGUC